rnacentral:sRNA from 1 species
GCGGAGGAAAAGAAACCAACAGGGAUUGCCCUAGUAACGGCGAGUGAAGCGGCAACAGCUCAAAUUUGAAAUCUGGCUCUUUUAGAGUCCGAGUUGUAAUUUGCAGAGGGCGCUUUGGCGUUGGCAGCGGUCCAAGUUCUUUGGAACAGGACGUCACAGAGGGUGAGAAUCCCGUACGUGGUCGCUAGCCUUCGCCGUGUAAAGCCCCUUCGACGAGUCGAGUUGUUUGGGAAUGCAGCUCUAAAUGGGAGGUAAAUUUCUUCUAAAGCUAAAUAUUGGCCAGAGACCGAUAGCGCACAAGUAGAGUGAUCGAAAGAUGAAAAGCACUUUGGAAAGAGAGUCAAAUAGCACGUGAAAUUGUUGAAAGGGAAGCGCUUGCAGCCAGACUUGCCUGUAGUUGCUUAUCUAGACUUUUGUCUAGUGCACUCUUCUGCGGGCAGGCCAGCAUCAGUCUAGGCGGUUGGAUAAAGGUCUCUGUCAUGUACCUCUCUUCGGGGAGGCCUUAUAGGGGAGACGACAUGCAACCAGCCUGGACUGAGGUCCGCGCAUCUGCUAGGAUGCUGGCGUAAUGGCUGUAAGCGGCCCGUCUUGAAACACGGACCAAGGAGUCUAACAUCUAUGCGAGUGUUUGGGUGUCAAGCCCAGACGCGUAAUGAAAGUGAACGGAGGUGGGAACCCUUUGGGUGCACCAUCGACCGAUCCUGAUGUCUUCGGAUGGAUUUGAGUAAGAGCAUGGCUGUUGGGACCCGAAAGAUGGUGAACUAUGCUUGAAUAGGGUGAAGCCAGAGGAAACUCUGGUGGAGGCUCGCAGCGGUUCUGACGUGCAAAUCGAUCGUCAAAUUUGGGCAUAGGGGCGAAAGACUAAUCGAACUAUCUAGUAGCUGGGUCUGC